AUUGAACGCUGGCAGCAGGCUUAACACAUGCAAGUCGAGCGGAGCGAGGGUGCUUGCACCUUAGCUUAGCGGCGGACGGGUGAGUAAUGCUUAGGAAUCUGCCUAUUAGUGGGGGACAACAUUCCGAAAGGGAUGCUAAUACCGCAUACGCCCUACGGGGGAAAGCAGGGGAUCUUCGGACCUUGCGCUAAUAGAUGAGCCUAAGUCGGAUUAGCUAGUUGGUGGGGUAAAGGCCUACCAAGGCGACGAUCUGUAGCGGGUCUGAGAGGAUGAUCCGCCACACUGGGACUGAGACACGGCCCAGACUCCUACGGGAGGCAGCAGUGGGGAAUAUUGGACAAUGGGCGGAAGCCUUAUCCAGCCAUGCCGCGUGUGUGAAGAAGGCCUUUUGGUUGUAAAGCACUUUAAGCGAGGAGGAGGCUCUUAAGGUUAAUACCCUUGAUGAGUGGACGUUACUCGCAGAAUAAGCACCGGCUAACUCUGUGCCAGCAGCCGCAGUAACAC
rnacentral:rRNA from 1 species